GACGAACGCUGGCGGCGUGCUUAACACAUGCAAGUCGAACGGAAAGGCCCUGCUUUUGUGGGGUGCUCGAGUGGCGAACGGGUGAGUAACACGUGAGUAACCUGCCCUUGACUUUGGGAUAACUUCAGGAAACUGGGGCUAAUACCGGAUAGGAGCUCCUGCUGCAUGGUGGGGGUUGGAAAGUUUCGGCGGUUGGGGAUGGACUCGCGGCUUAUCAGCUUGUUGGUGGGGUAGUGGCUUACCAAGGCUUUGACGGGUAGCCGGCCUGAGAGGGUGACCGGCCACAUUGGGACUGAGAUACGGCCCAGACUCCUACGGGAGGCAGCAGGGGGGAAUUUUGCACAAUGGGCGGAAGCCUGAUGCCGCAACGCCGCGUGCGGGAUGACGGCCUUCGGGUUGUAAACCGCUUUCGCCUGUGACGAAGCGUGAGUGACGGUAAUGGGUAAAGAAGCCCCGGCUAACUACGUG
rnacentral:rRNA from 1 species